UGGGGAAUCUUGCACAAUGGGCGAAAGCCUGAUGCAGCGACGCCGCGUGGGGGAUGAAGCUUCUCGGAGUGUAAACCCCUUUCGACCCGGACGAAUGCCCCGCAAGGGGACUGACGGUACAGGUAUAAGAAGCCCCGGCUAACUACGUGCCAGCAGCCGCGGUAAUACGUAGGGGGCCAGCGUUGCUCGGAAUUACUGGGUGUAAAGGGUUCGUAGGCGGUGCGGCAAGUUGGAAGUGAAAUCUCUGGGCUCAACCCAUAGGCUGCUUUCAAAACUGCUGUGCUUGAGUGUGGGAGAGGCGCGUGGAAUUGCAGGUGUAGCGGUGAAAUGCGUAGAUAUCUGCAGGAACACCCGUGGCGAAAGCGGCGCGCUGGACCACAACUGACGCUGAGGAACGAAAGCUAGGGGAGCAAACAGG
rnacentral:rRNA from 1 species